UGAGGAAUAUUGGUCAAUGGACGCAAGUCUGAACCAGCCAAGUAGCGUGCAGGAUGACGGCCCUAUGGGUUGUAAACUGCUUUUAUAUGGGGAUAAAGUGGGGAACGUGUUCCCUUUUGCAGGUACCAUAUGAAUAAGGACCGGCUAAUUCCGUGCCAGCAGCCGCGGUAAUACGGAAGGUUCGGGCGUUAUCCGGAUUUAUUGGGUUUAAAGGGAGCGUAGGCCGUUUGGUAAGCGUGUUGUGAAAUGUAGGAGCUCAACUUCUAGAUUGCAGCGCGAACUGUCAGACUUGAGUGCCCACAACGUAGGCGGAAUUCAUGGUGUAGCGGUGAAAUGCUUAGAUAUCAUGAAGAACUCCGAUUGCGAAGGCAGCUUACGGGAGCGCAACUGACGCUAAAGCUCGAAGGUGCGGGUAUCGAACAGG
rnacentral:rRNA from 1 species